GACGAACGCUGGCGGCGUGCUUAACACAUGCAAGUCGAACGGCAAGGCCCUGCUUUUGUGGGGUGCUCGAGUGGCGAACGGGUGAGUAACACGUGAGUAACCUGCCCUUGACUUUGGGAUAACUUCAGGAAACUGGGGCUACUACCGGAUAGGAGCUCCUGCUGCAUGGUGGGGGUUGGAAAGUUUCGGCGGUUGGGGAUGGACUCGCGGCUUAUCAGCUUGUUGGUGGGGUAGUGGCUUACCCAGGCUUUGACGGGUAGCCGGCCUGAGAGGGUGACCGGCGACAUGGGGACUGAGAGACGGCGCAGACGGCUACGGGAGGCAGCAGGGGGGAAUAUUGCACAAUGGGCGGAAGCCUGAGGAAGCAACGCCGCGGGCGGGAUGACGGCCUGCGGGUUGUAAACCGCUGUAGCCUGUGACGAAGCGGGAGUGACGGUAAUGGGUAAAGAAGCACCGGCUAACUACGUG
rnacentral:rRNA from 1 species